AACUUUCAGCAACGGAUCUCUUGGCUCUCGCAUCGAUGAAGAACGCAGCGAAAUGCGAUAAGUAAUGUGAAUUGCAGAAUUCAGAGAAUCAUCGAAUCUUUGAACGCACCUUGCGCUCCUUGGUAUUCCGAGGAGCAUGCCUGUUUGAGUGACAUUAAAUUCUCAACCUUCCAACUUUUAUAAGCUUGGAUAGGCUUGGAUGUGGGGGUUGCAGGCUUCAUCAAUGAGGUCAGCUCUUCUUAAAUGCAUUAGCGGAACUUUUGUGGACCGUCUAUUGGUGUGAUAAUUAUCUACGCCGUGGAUGAGAAACAGCUUUAUCAAGUUCAGCUUCUAACCGUCCAUUGACUUGGACAAUUUUGACAAUUUGACCUCAAAUCAGGUAGGACUACCCGCUGAACUUAAGCAUAUCAAUAAGCGGAGGCU
rnacentral:misc_RNA from 1 species